rnacentral:rRNA from 1 species
AGAUUGAACGCUGGCGGCAGGCCUAACACAUGCAAGUCGAGCGGUAGAGAGGUGCUUGCACCUCUUGAGAGCGGCGGACGGGUGAGUAAUGCCUAGGAAUCUGCCUAGUGGUGGGGGAUAACGUUCGGAAACGGACGCUAAUACCGCAUACGUCCUACGGGAGAAAGCGGGGGACCUUCGGGCCUCGCGCCAUUAGAUGAGCCUAGGUCGAUUACGCUAGUUGGUGAGGUAAUGGCUCACCGAAGGCGACGAUCCGUAACUGGGUCUGAGAGGAUGAUCAGUCACACUGGAACUGAGACACGGUCAGACUACCGUACGGGAGCAGGUCAGGUAGGGAAUAGUUGGACAAGUGGGGACGAAACGCC